UCCAGCUUAAACGCCGGCAGUCUGAUAUGAAAAUCAACAUAUCACGGGGGUUGCGCUCGUUCUCCCACUUAAGGGAACAUCUCACGACACGAGCUGACGACAGCCGUGCAAUACCUGUUAUCCACUCUCGAAGAUCACACGUUUCCGUGCGCUUGCAGGACAAUGUCAAACCCUGGUAAGGUUCCUCGCUUACCGUCGAAUUAAACCACAUGCUCCACCGCUUGUGCGGGUCCCCGUCAAUUCCUUUGAGUUUUAGUCUUGCGACCGUACUCCCCAGGCGGAAUACUUAACGCGUUAGCUACGGCUCGCACGAGGGUCGAUACUCGCGCAUGCCUAGUAUUCAUCGUUUACAGCGUGGACUA
rnacentral:misc_RNA from 1 species